ACGGCUCAGUAACACGUCGAUAAUCUGCCCUUGGGUCCUGGAUAACCUUGGGAAACUGAGGCUAAGCCAAGAUAGGGGAAUUAUACUGGAAUGUUUUUUCCCCGAAAGGCAACGCCCAAGGAUGAGUUGGCGGCGGAUUAGCUUGUUGGUGGGGUAAUGGCCCACCAAGGCAUUGAUCCGUAGGGGCCUUGGAAGAGGUAGCCCCGAGAAGGACACUGAGAUACUGGUCCUAGCCCCACGGGGUGCAGCAGGCGCGAAAACUUUACACUACACGCAAGUGUGAUAAGGGGAUUCCAAGUGCCUGUACACAGUACAGGCUUUUAUUGAGAGCAAAUUUCUCGAUGAAUAAGUGGUGGGUAAGACCGGUGCCAGCAGCCGCGGUAAUCCCGGCGCCACAAGUGGGGACCAUGGUUAUUGGGCCUAAAGCGUUCGUAGCAGGUCGGAUAAAUCUCUUGUGAAAUCGUUGGGCUUAACCUAACGGCGUGCAGGAGAGACUGUUCGACUAGAGACCGGGAGGGGUUGGAGGUAUUCCUUGGGGAGCGGUAAAAUGCUAUAAUCCUUGGAAGACCACCUGUGGCGAAGGCGUCCAACCAGAACGGGUCUGACUGUGAGGGACGAAAGCUAGGGGAGCAAUCCGGAUUAGAUACCCGAGUAGUCCUGGCUGUAAACUCUGCGAGCAAGGUGUUGCAUAUUCUACAUGAAUAUGCAGUGUCGAAGAGAAGUCGUUAAGCUCGCCGCCUGGGAAGUACGGUCGCAAGACUGAAACUUAAAGGAAUUGGCGGGGGAGCACUACAAGGGGUGCGGCGUGCGGUUUAAUUGAACUCAACACCGGAAAUCUCACCAGGAACGACGGCAGGAUGAAGGUCAGUCUAAAGGGCUUACCCAACAAGCCGAGAGGUGGUGCAUGGCCGUCGUCAGCUCGUGCCGUGAGGUGUCAUGUUAAGUCAUGCAACGAGCGAGACCCCCACC
rnacentral:rRNA from 1 species